rnacentral:misc_RNA from 1 species
GAUGAAGAACGCAGCGAAAUGCGAUAAGUAAUGUGAAUUGCAGAAUUCAGUGAAUCAUCGGAUCUUUGAACGCACAUUGCGCCCCUUGGUAUUCCGAGGGGCAUGCCUGUUCGAGCGUCAUUUCAACCCUCAAGCACAGCUUGGUCUUGGGCUUCGCCGCUAACCCGGCGGGUCUUAAAAUCAGUGGCGGUGCCGUCGGGCCCUGAGCGCAGUAAUCUCUCUCGCUAUAGGGUCCCGGCGGAUGCUGGCCAGUAACCCCCAAUUUUCUAUGGUUGACCUCGGAUCAGGUAGGGAUACCCGCUGAACUUAAGCAUAUCAAUAAGCGGAGGA